UACGUAGGGGGCAAGCGUUGUCCGGAUUUAUUGGGCGUAAAGAGCGUGUAGGCGGCUAGGUAGGUCCGUUGUGAAAACUCGAGGCUCAACCUCGAGACGCCGAUGGAAACCAUCUAGCUAGAGUCCGGAAGAGGAGAGUGGAAUUCCUGGUGUAGCGGUGAAAUGCGCAGAUAUCAGGAAGAACACCCGUGGCUAAGGCGGCUCUCUGGACCACAACUGACGCUGAGGCGCGAAAGCUAGGGGAGCAAACAGG
rnacentral:rRNA from 1 species